UGUCAAUGAUCAUUUCUGGUGGGGCCCUAAGGGCAUAGGAAGUGUCUCUGAAGAAUGGCUUAUUUUAACAGAAGACAGAUCUGCCUGACCUGGGUUUUAUGACAGAUGUCAAAUACAUCGAAGUGUGUUGUGAAGCAGAUCACCCUAUUGGCAAAGAAAUGAAAGACCACCGGGAAGAUGGAUGGGAAGCGUUCCUCCAGGGAUUUCUUGUCUCUUCGUGCAGGUCUGCCAGUGAACCCGAAGAAGGGGCUGGAGGGCAGAAUUAUGAAGAGAAAUCUGUGGAAUGCAGAUCUCAUCUGCAGGACUUUCCCCCUCUUGAUGGACUGGGCUUUUGACCAUUAUAGCCCCGGGGGAUGGGGAAAGGCGGGUGGUGUAACCUGUUCAAAGAUCCAUUCCUCCAAACCAACUGCCAGAGUGGGUAAGUGCUUUUCCUGGGAGCGCAGGGAGUUCAGGUGUCACAAGAUGGA
rnacentral:lncRNA from 1 species